GGGUGUGAACAUACCAUCUUUAAUGCACCAGAUCCCAUCAAAACUCCGCAAUUAAGCAUGCUUGGGCUAGAGUAGUACUGGGAUGGGUGACCUCCCGAGAAGUUCUAGUGUUGCACCCU
rnacentral:rRNA from 1 species